GUCUAUGGCCAUACCAUCCUGAAUGUGCUGGAUCUCAUCUAGUCUCAGAAGCUAAGCAGAGUUGGGCCUGGUUCGUCCUUGGAUGGGAAGAAUAUGAGGAUGAAAUACACU
ensembl:rRNA 5S_rRNA 5S ribosomal RNA